GACGUCGGGGGCGAGCCGGGCCUGCGCGGUAGUGGGACCCGACCCUGUCUCCAGUGGGCGUCUUGGGCCCCGGCUCUAUUCUGGGCUGCGGGCCUGGGAAGGGCUCGCCGGGUGCCAAAUGAGCUGUCCUAACUCUGCGGGGCUGCAGCUUCCUGCAUGAUGCUGGGGAGCUUGGCGCCUGACCCAGGAUCUAGAAGGCACUCUGGGCAGGCCGCGCUCCGCCCACGAAGAUAAACUGCCAGGGAGAAGAAUGAGAAGACAGGAGACAAACUGUUUGGAAAGCUAAAUCUUCCCUCUUAAUGAAUAAAGGUUUUUGCCUUGUCUUAAA
ensembl:lncRNA TP53TG1 TP53 target 1